GACGAGCCUUGCUAACGUUAUUCGGAAUUACUGGGCUUAAAGGGUGCGUAGGCUGUGCAGAAAGUUGGGUGUGAAAUCCCUCGGCUUAACCGAGGAAUUGCGCUCAAAACUACUGUGCUAGAGGAAUACAGAGGUAAGCGGAACUUCGGGUGGAGCGGUGAAAUGCGUUGAUAUCCGAAGGAACACCGGUGGCGAAAGCGGCUUACUGGGUAUUUUCUGACGCUGAUGCACGAAAGCUAGGGUAGCGAACGGG
rnacentral:rRNA from 1 species